rnacentral:rRNA from 1 species
UACGGGGGGAGCAAGCGUUGUUCGGAUUUACUGGGCGUAAAGGGCGCGUAGGCGGCGCAACAAGUCAGUUGUGAAAUCUCCGGGCUUAACUCGGAACGGUCAAGUGAUACUGUUGUGCUAGAGUGCGGAAGGGGCAACUGGAAUUCUCGGUGUAGCGGUGAAAUGCGUAGAUAUCGAGAGGAACACCUGCGGCGAAGGCGGGUUGCUGGGCCGACACUGACGCUGAUGCGCGAAAGCCAGGGGAGCGAACGGG